UGUGUCACAUAUUAUUAUACUAUUCUGACUUCAUUUAAAAAGAAAAAGAACAUAUAUAUAAUUUGUUAAAUUCUGGGCCACAUAUAUAAUUUUGCAGGUUGAAGGUGCAUGGAACGAAGGAGGUAAAGGCAUGAGUAAUUGGGAUUACUUUACACAGAGUCAACCAGGUCUCCUCUUUUUCCAAUCUUCUCAUGAAUAUAUUAUAUAGUGUUCCAUGUCUAUUGCUGAGAAUAUGUUUAUUGGACUGGUAGGUGGUAUUUCCGACUUUAGCAAUGGCACUAUUGCAAUUGAUCACUUUAAUAUGUUCAAGGUAUACUUUCAGUAAUAUUUACUAUCACAUGCUCUCGACGAGUUAGAUAAAUUCAACUUUUUUUAACUGGCUUGUACGCUAAUAUCUAUGUUACUUCGUAUUAAACAUGGAAUUAGAUGAAUUAAAAAAGAAACUUAAAUAAAAUUCCGAAUUUCCCUUCAUUUUGCUUACUCAUGAAAAGUUUUCCAUAUUCCUUUUACUCUUAAGACAACUCAAGAAUUUUUCCUUUUUUUUAACUCUAUAUUCAUAUUUAAUAAUGCUGCAGGACGAUGUUGUCGUGAUGAAGAAAUUGGGUUUGAAAGCAU
rnacentral:lncRNA from 1 species